CCCACCCCCCGCCCACCGUCAGAUCUUAGAAGGCUUGACGAGCCUCUGCACUCCAAAUGGGAAUUCAGCAGAAGUGUGGAGCGAGAAUUUUAACUCCUGAAGCCUGGACCAAAGCACCAUCUUUUUUCCUGGUCCCAAUCCUGGUCAAGACAGCACCUUUUGACCAACCACCAGUUGGUCCAGAACCACCUGAGACAGCUUCUCCAAUAGCACUGUGGCAGGACUUGACUCUGAAGGAGUGGAACUUGAGACUUGGGGACUUCCCUGGUGCUUCAGUGGUGAAGAAUCCUCCUGUCAGUGCAGGAGACACGGGUUUGAUCCCGGAUCCAGGAAGAUCCCACAUGCCUCACAGCAACUAAGCCCACGCACCACAUCUAAUGACCCUGUGCUCUAGAGCCUGGUAGCCACAACUAGUGAUCCCAUGCAUGGAAACUACCAAAGCCUGCAUGCCCUAGAGCCUGAGCUCCACAGCAAGAGAAGCCACCACAAUGAGAAGCCUGCACGCUGCAACUAGAGAGCAGCCCUUGCUUGCCAAAGCUAGAGAAAAGCCCGUGUAGCAACAAAGAACCAACAUAGCCAAAAAUAAUAAAUAAAUAAAAUUGUUUAAUG
ensembl:lncRNA